rnacentral:rRNA from 1 species
UAGGGAAUCUUCCACAAUGGACGCAAGUCUGAUGGAGCAACGCCGCGUGAGUGAAGAAGGUUUUCGGAUCGUAAAGCUCUGUUGUUGGUGAAGAAGGAUAGAGGCAGUAACUGGUCUUUAUUUGACGGUAAUCAACCAGAAAGUCACGGCUAACUACGUGCCAGCAGCCGCGGUAAUACGUAGGUGGCAAGCGUUGUCCGGAUUUAUUGGGCGUAAAGCGAGCGCAGGCGGAAUGAUAAGUCUGAUGUGAAAGCCCACGGCUCAACCGUGGAACUGCAUCGGAAAAUGUCAUUCUUGAGUGCAGAAGAGGAGAGUGGAAUUCCAUGUGUAGCGGUGGAAUGCGUAGAUAUAUGGAAGAACACCAGUGGCGAAGGCGGCUCUCUGGUCUGCAACUGACGCUGAGGCUCGAAAGCAUGGGUAGCGAACAGG